UAAGAAUUUUCUUAUUUUGAAGCUUGAUUAAGCAAUUAGUGAUAGCCAAGAGUCCAGUGCUUUCUUGAAGCAAACUCUCUCUACCCUAACAAUGGAUUUAGUUUUCUUGAUUAAAGGUAUUUUUUGAUUUUUGACAAAAUCUUCAUUUAUAAAAUAGGCUAAGGCUCUUGAAUCUAAUAAGAUAAAGACUUUAAGAUUUUUAGGUCCUAAAUACACAUGUAUUAUAAAUCAAGGUGAUGGGUUUGAAGAGAAGAUAGGAUCUUUACUAGGUAUUGCACAUGAUUCUAGCCGCAAGAUCCCUAUUGUAGCUAAAAAAUUUUAUUUUUCAAAACAUUAUCUUCUUUGGUAAUUAUACUCUUCAUUUUGUAAUUGUAUUGCU
rnacentral:lncRNA from 1 species